AAGACUAUAUUUUCAGGGAUCAUUUCUAUAGUUCUUUGCUUGGAAAUGUGUUUCAAAAGUGUUUGUCUCCCAACCCACGAUGAUGAGUCAUGAUGCUCCUUUCAGAGCGUGAAUUGGGCACAGAUCAGCAACUUUGAUUGUGAGCUCUGUGUCAUUGAUGAACGUGCUGUGUUGCGAUUGAGCAAUAUUGAAGAAAGGAGUAUGUUCUGAGUGGU